CAAAGAAUAGUUUAAUGCAAGAAUCUUAGCUUUGGGAGCUAAGGGUAGGAG
rnacentral:tRNA from 1 species